rnacentral:tRNA from 1 species
GGGGCGGUGGCGCAGCUGGGAGCGCGUCAGACUGAAGUCAAACUUCAAUCUAUAAUCUGAAGGUCAUCGGUUCAAGCCCGGUCCACCCCA